rnacentral:lncRNA from 1 species
AGCUCCAGUAGCUUUACACACAUAGUGCAAAAAUUCAGCAUAACAAUCUAUAUGCAUGACUACUUAAGUAUAAAAAAAAAUACUAAGUUUGCUAAUGGUUCAAACUUAAUAACAAACGCAGCAAAAUUAUGAUAUCUAAGUAUCUAUUCUUCUUUGGUAAACACUAAAAUUAAAAAUAUGCAUCUCCAUGACCUGCUUCAUUUCCCAUAUGCAACUCCAUGACUACUAGCUUUGUGACAANNNNNNNNNNNNNNNNNNACCUCAUAUUUGUUGGUGAAGUUGAAUACCAGUAAUGGAAACCUCAACCUAACUUAUCCAGUUCACAUAAAAUCAGAAAUAUGAGAUAAAAAUCUAGCCAAUAAGAAAAAUGAAAAUACUUAUAGUCAUGAAGUCACCAACAUAUUUAGCCAAAAGAUCAGUUUUCUUUCUACCUGCA